UAUACUGUCAAAUUCUAAAAAUUCUAAAAAUUAAAUUUUCUUUAAAAUAUCCCAAAUGAUUUUAAAACCUAAGUAUCGCAUGAGAUCUAAAUAUUUUAUCGCUAUGAAAAAAUUACAUUUCACCAGAAACACUCAGCACCAACUUCUGCAAUUCUCUAAGGAGACGUUACCGUUAUAAUAUUUGACAUCGAAACUGCGGCUGGUGACAUAAAGUCAACUCCACUUGUUCAUUUCAGUUAAAUUUAAAUUUUAUGGUUGAAGAAACGAAGAGCAAUUUGAAUGUUGGCCGAGAAUGAAGUCGACAAAUCAUUGGUGAACCUCAUUUUAAUCAGAUUUACAGCUGUCAGCUGAAUCUAUAAUAAAGAAGAUACCGCCAACUUGACUCACAAAGGAAGGAUAUCAGAGACAUUGACUUUGAAGAUAUAUCAUCAUCAUCAUCAUCGUUUAAUGUCUGCUUUCCAUGCUAGCAUGAGUUGGACGAUUUUGACUGAGGGCUGACGAACCAGAUAGCAGCACCAGGCCCCAAUCUUGAUCUGGCAGAGUUUCUACAGCUGGAUGCCC